rnacentral:rRNA from 1 species
CAGCAUGAUCUAGCUUGCUAGAUUGAUGGCGAGUGGCGAACGGGUGAGUAAUACAUCGGAACGUGCCCUGUAGUGGGGGAUAACUAGUCGAAAGAUUAGCUUAAUACCGCAUACGACCUGAGGGUGAAAGUGGGGGACCGCAAGGCCUCAUGCUAUAGGAGCGGCCGAUGUCUGAUUAGCUAGUUGGUGAGGUAAAGGCUCACCCAAGGCGACGGUCAGUAGCUGGUCUGAGAGGACGAUCAGCCCACACUGGGACUGAGACACGGCCCCAGACUCUCUACGGGAGGCAGCCAGUGGGGAAUUUUGGACUAAUGGGCGAAAGCUUUGAUCUCAGCAAUGCCGGCGUGUGUGAAGAAGGAUAAUCGGGUUGUAAAGCACUUUUGUCCCGGAAAGAAAUGGCUCUGGAUAAUACACGGGGUCGUGACUG